rnacentral:rRNA from 1 species
CACAGGUUUACCUGUGUGACUGCGUACCUUUUGUAUAAUGGGUCAGCGACUUAUAUUCUGUAGCAAGGUUAACCGAAUAGGGGAGCCGGAGGGAAACCGAGUCUUAAUUGGGCGUUAAGUUGCAGGGUAUAGACCCGAAACCCGGUGAUCUAGCCAUGGGCAGGUUGAAGGUUGGGUAACACUAACUGGAGGACCGAACCGACUAAUGUUGAAAAAUUAGCGGAUGACCUGUGGCUGGGGGUGAAAGGCCAAUCAAACCGGGAGAUAGCUGGUUCUCCCCGAAAGCUAUUUAGGUAGCGCCUCGUGAAUUCAUCUCCGGGGGUAGAGCACUGUUUCGGCUAGGGGGCCAUCCCGGCUUACCAACCCGAUGCAAACUGCGAAUACCGGAGAAUGUUAUCACGGGAGACACACGGCGGGUGCUAACGUCCGUCGUGAAGAGGGAAACAACCCAGACCGCCAGCUAAGGUCCCAAAGUCAUGGUUAAGUGGGAAACGAUGUGGGAAGGCCCAGACAGCCAGGAUGUUGGCUUAGAAGCAGCCAUCAUUUAAAGAAAGCGUAAUAGCUCACUGGUCGAGUCGGCCUGCGCGGAAGAUGUAACGGGGCUAAACCAUG